CGAACCGAAGUAAUUGUAACACUGGCGAGGACGCGGUCAUGCAGUCUAAUAUUUGGCAUUAGAUUCAAAUGUUAACUGUAAGACUGUGUCUUUGACGGCGUUGUAUCAUCAAUCCGA
rnacentral:pre_miRNA from 1 species